CAGUGGGUGCCACUGUAAAAAAAGUGACACACGUUGGUGCUAGCUAAAUGCUGCCAGCUCCUAGCCAUGUGCAUGGUCAGCCUGGUAGAUGCAGGGUCAGACCUCAGACUGGUAGUGGGGUAUCCCUUGCUCAUAUCUCACAUGCUGAGCAUCCCUGUGGUCCAGGAUACACAAGAUACUUAUGGAUCACAGAAUCACAGAGUGAUACGGAGUUGGAGGGGACCUCUGGAGAUCAUCCAAUCAGAGCAGGUCCACCCAGAGCAGGAAUGUGUCCAGGUGGGUUUUGAAUGUCUCCAGAGAUGAAGACUCCACAACCUCUCUGAGCAGCCUGUUCCAGGACUCUGCCACCCUCAAAGAAGUUCCUCCUCAUGUUUAGGAUCUUUUAGGGAUGCAUUAUAAUUCUUUAUAUAUAUAUUCUAUAUUUCUCCAUUAGGAGCAGACAGAAGAUCCAUGGAGACAGAAAGAGAUGCCAGGAAGUCUGUAACACUUGAUGGCUCCAAAGUUAAUCAUCAAAGUCUGCAGGGGUCGUCUCUGGCUAAGCAAAUCCGGCUGUUCCUUGUACACUGGUGGAAGUCAAAGCCAGGAACCUAUUUUGAAGCCUACCACGGGAGGGCGAUGGAUUCCCCCCAGCCUGCGGGAAAUAUUCGCUUUUGGCUGAGAUGGGAGAUGCACGGAAUGGGCUGUAGAGGUCCCCUUGCUCCAGGAGAUGUCUGGGGCUGAGAGGUGACAGCGCUCCGGUGACUUUCUCCAAGGGGAAAGCAGGAACGGUAAGUUUAGCCCCAGCCUAAAUCUGAUGGCUCUUUGAAGACAGGCUGAGAUGAUUUUUCCAGAAAACCAAUAUUGAGAUGGUCCUGCCGCUGGCCCAAGGAAAUUUGCAAGGGAAAGGGAUGCUCACUGGGCAAACUGGUGAUGUGGGACUUUACUGGCAGCUAAAAUCAAACCUUCCCCAAAUGCUGCACGGGAUGGGAUGCUGGAGCUGACAGCUCACCAUGAUGUGCACAUCACAGGGCUGAGGCGUGUUCCUGUGCAUGUGCAUUUGCAAGGUUUGCACACACCUCUGUGGGGCGUCUAGGAGCCUUGUUGAAAUUUAAGACAUUUUAAAUGUCUUUCUUAAUGGCCAGGACAAUAAAAGGUUUGCAUCUGGCA
rnacentral:lncRNA from 1 species